rnacentral:rRNA from 1 species
AACGUAGGAGACGAGCGUUAUCCGGAUUUACUGGGCGUAAAGCGCGUGCAGGUGGCUGGGUAAGUCGGGCAUGAAAUCUCUUGGCUCAACUGAGAGAGGCUGUCCGAUACUAUCUGGCUUGAGGGCAUUAGAGGGCGGUGGAAUUCCCUGUGUAGUGGUGAAAUGCGUAGAGAUAGGGAGGAACACCAGUGGCGAAAGCGACCGCCUGGAAUGCAUCUGACACUCAGACGCGAAAGCUAGGGGAGCGAACGGG